UACGGAGGGUGCAAGCGUUAUCCGGAUUUACUGGGCUUAAAGGGUGCGCAGGCGGAUAUGUAAGUCAGUGGUGAAAUCUCUAGGCUUAACCUGGAAAUUGCCGUUGAUACUAUAUAUCUUGAAUGUUGUGGAGGUAAGCAGAAUAUGUCAUGUAGCGGUGAAAUGCUUAGAUAUGACAUAGAAUACCUAUUGCGAAGGCAGCUUACUACGCAGAUAUUGACGCUCAUGCACGAAAGCGUGGGGAUCAAACAGG
rnacentral:rRNA from 1 species